UUCCGAAUUUGUAAAUUGAAGCAUUGGUAUCCCCCAGUCUAGAAAAAACAGCCAUGGGUUCCAUCAGAUCACUAGUGCUUAUGCAGCUGAUGAUCUUGCUUAAUGUUAUAUUGACGGUAAAAGCUUCAACACCAGCGGUAGCAAAACCUGGCUGCCGAAGCCGCUGCGGAGAUGUUAUCAUCCCAUACCCGUUCGGUACCGGCGGCGAUUGCAACAUCACUGCAGGCUUUUUCAUCAACUGUAACACCAGUUUCAUACCCCACAAACCGUUCUUCGGUGACCUCGAAGUCAUCAACAUAUCUACCGAUGGUCAGUUGCGCAUCCUUUCUAAUACAAGCUAUGAUUGUUACAACACAUCAUACAGGAAUUGGUUUUUUACGACUUCCUAUCUUUUGAAUUUUCAAUAAACAAUAACAAGAACAAGUUUACUGCAAUCGGGUGCGACACGUAUGCUGUCGUGCAAGAUUUCUACGGACAAUGUUACGCAACUGGUUGUUUGUCGUUGUGUAACAACAUCACUGAUGUUUCAAACGGGUCUUGCUCUGGGAUUGGCUGCUGUCAGACAAGUAUCCCAAAGGAUGUGAGGAGCUACAACAUAAGUCUCGACAGCUACGCCAACCAUACCAAUGUGUUGGCCGAAAACCCCUGCAGCUAUGCAUUUGUUGCAGAGGUCGAUAGUUAUACCUUCUCUGCUUCAGAUCUUCGUGGUUUUGAGUUUCAAAGCAGGCAGUUUCCAAUCACUCUUGAUUGGAACAUCGGGAAUACGAGUUGCAACGAAGCGAAUAUGGAUGUAAACAAUUUUGCAUGCAAAGAGUAUAGUAAAUGCGUUGAUUCAGAAAAUAACUCUGGAUAUUUGUGCAAGUGUCUUGAGGGUUACGUGGGGAACCCUUACCUUCCUAAUGGAUGUCAAGAUAUAAACGAGUGUGAAAGUAUGAGCCCUUGCAAUGGAACGGCAAGAUGUACCAACUUACCUGGGACGUACAAUUGUUCAUGUCCGGUGGGUUAUGAAGGCGAUGGUAAGAAAAGUGGAACAGGUUGCAGUUUACCCAACAAGGAUCAGUCCAAGACAUCUCCUCUUAUUGCUGCUCUAGGGGUUGCCAUUGGGUUUCUUGGUCUUCUCUUGGGGAUAGUAUUGUGGUGUUGGAUGCUGAGGCAAAGGCAAAUUUCCAAAUUAAGAGAAGCUAACUUUCAGCAAAAUGGUGGCAUUUUGUUGCGGGAACAACUUUCAAAACGACAAGGGUACCGUGAAGAUGUUAAAGUAUUUACAGCUGAGGAACUGGAGAAGGCAACUAACAAUUACAAUGAAAGCAGAAUUUUAGGACAGGGAGGGCAAGGGACAGUGUACAAGGGAAUAUUGGCUGAUAAUCAAAUAGUUGCCAUCAAAAAGUCAAUAAUUGGAGAUCCUAGCCAAGUUGAACAAUUCAUUAAUGAAAUAAUGGUGCUCUACAAAAUCAACCAUAGGAAUGUUGUCAAACUCCUAGGAUGUUGUUUGGAGACACAAGUUCCGCUGUUAGUUUAUGAAUAUAUCACCAACAGAACCCUUUUUCACCAUUUGCAUAAUGAUGAUGCUACAUCUUAUCUUUCAUGGGAGACCCGUUUGAGAAUAGCCACUGAAACAGCAGAAGCCCUUUCUUAUUUGCACUCUGCAGCUUCCAUUCCAAUCAUUCACCGAGACAUCAAGUUGGCGAACAUACUGUUAGAUGACAAUUACACCCCAAAAGUUUCUGAUUUUGGGGCUUCCAGAUUGAUCCCAUCCGACGAAGCACAAAUAACUACAAUUGUGCAAGGAACUUUCGGUUACUUGGAUCCUGAAUACAUGCUUUCAAGCCUUCUUACUGAAAAAAGUGAUGUCUACAGCUACGGGGUUGUGCUUAUGGAGUUGUUAACAGGACAAAAAGUGGUAUGUUUCAAAAGACCGGAAGAAAAUCGAGUUUUGCCAUUGUACUUCACUUCUUUGAUGAAAGAAGACCGUUUGCUCGACAUUCUCGAUCCUCGAGUGCUUAAUGAUGAAAAUGUUGAGCAGCUUAUGGAAGUAGCAAUUUUAGCUAGGAGAUGUGUGAGAGUGAAGGGAGAGGAAAGGCCAACAAUGAAGGAAGUUGCCCAUGAAUUAGCAGGACUGCAAGCAAUGGCUAAACAUCCUUGGAGUAAAAGUAAUUUAGUAAGCGAAGAAUCUGAAUACUUGCUUGGUAAGUUUCCCAGCACUUACGAUGAUGGUGUAACAAGCAGCUCGAUAGGGAUGGGGUAUGAUAGCAUAAAUAACAAAAUCACAUUUGAACUUGAAGGUGCUCGCUAAGUAUGUAAUCAGAUUAUCAUUUGUACGUAAUCACAUUUGAACCUAAGGCAGCUCGAUGUUGUAUGAUUUUAAAUAAUUUGCUUCUAAAUUUCCAAGUUUCGAGAGAAAUAUAGUGUUAAAUUACAAUAGAUGGAGCUUAAUCUAUAUGCGUUGUUUCAA